rnacentral:rRNA from 1 species
UACGGAGGGUGCAAGCGUUAAUCGGAAUCACUGGGCGUAAAGGGUGCGUAGGCGGUCUUACAAGUCAGGGGUGAAAGGCUACGGCUCAACCGUAGUAAGCCUUUGAAACUGUAGGACUUGAGUACGGGAGAGGGUGGCGGAAUUCCAGGUGUAGGAGUGAAAUCCGUAGAUAUCUGGAGGAACAUCAGUGGCGAAGGCGGCUUGCUGGACAAAUACUGACGCUGAGGUGCGAAAGCGUGGGGAGCAAACAGG